CUGGAUGGUUGGAGGGGCAGGGACAGGAUCUCCGGAAGAUUACUAAGAGGUGGUCUGCAGCAGCAUUUGUAAUAGGCAGGACCCUAUUCAUCAAGUGGUGGUGAGGAAGGAUCCCUGGACCUGAGAGGUCUGACUUGGGUUCUGGUCUCAGCCAUCCACUUAUCAGUUGUGGAACCUUGGGAGGGCCGUGUAGCCAUCACCCGAGUGGCCAACCUUCUGCUGUGUAUGUAUGCCAAGGAGACCGUGGGCUUUGGAAUGCUGAAGGCCAAGGCCCAGGCUUUGGUGCAGUACCUGGAGGAGCCCCUCACCCAAGUGGCAGCAUCUUAACGGCAUUGGUGGAAGCUGGGGUCAGAAAAGAGAAAUGACCAUUUGGAGGGGCGGGGCCUCAUAGAAGAACCUUCUUAGACAACGGGGGGAGGAUGGGACUUUGUUUUUUUCCAAGAAUAAACUUCAACUCCUGUCA
rnacentral:sRNA from 1 species